rnacentral:rRNA from 1 species
CAAUGGCGUAUAUUAAAGUUGUUGCAGUUAAAAGCUCGUAGUUGGAUUUCUGGCAGGAGCGACCGGUCGGCCCAUUGUGGUGUGUACUAGUGUUGCAUCUGGCCAUAUUUGUGGAGAGCGUGUGUGGCAUUAAUUUGUCGUGCUCGGGACCCGCAUCGUUUACUGUGAGAAAAUUAGAGUGUUCAAAGCAGGCUUAUGCCUUGGAUAUGUUAGCAUGGAAUAAUAAGAUAAGACUUUGGCGGUCUAUUUUGUUGGUUUGCACGCCAUUGUAAUGAUUGAUAGGGACAGUUGGGGGCAUCAGUAUUCUGAAGCGAGAGGUGAAAUUCUUGGACCUUCGGAAGACUAACAACUGCGAAAGACAUUUGCCAAGGAUGUUCUCUUUAAUCAAGAACGAAAGUUAGGGGAUCGAAGACGAUCAG